rnacentral:lncRNA from 1 species
UUUAGUUCAUCAGACAGCGGGUUCAUUGCUACCGCACCGAACACGGAAUGCGGCUCGACUACGAAACAUGUCCGAUCCAGGGUCCUAGGACUGGCUGUACAGCUGUAGCAGAUUUACGGUACAAAUAUCCCUAUUGUUGUCCCAGACUCACCUGCGCCUAAUUAACAGUCAUUGGCUUCUGGGUUAUGGAUUCACUGAACUACAGGACUCGUCAUCUCGUACGCGCUCAAGACGACACUCCGCCUUGUUUCGAGCGCGUAUCCCGAGAGGAUGAACUUUUCGAUUUGAAAAGUGUGGACCAUUCGUAGGUUUGCUGUUAUGAGCUGUCUGUCUGGAUGUCCUCGUUAGCUGUUGCUCACGUAUGAAAUCGGUUGAUGGUUCUUCAUCUUCUUGUGCCCAAUAAAUGCAAGCAAUACC